CAGCACACUUCACACAAUACAAACUCAUAAGGGCACAGCACACUUCACACGAUACAAACUCAUAAGUGCACAGCACACUUCACACAAUACAAACUCGUAGGUGCACAGCACACUUCACACAAUACAAACUCGUAGGUGCACAGCACACUUCACACAAUACAAACUCGUAGGUGCACAGCACACUUUGCACACUGCAACGGACUUUGCCGUACUUCCUAUUCCUGACAACUCAAGUUACUUUAUACUUGAAUAAAUGCACACUGUAUAGUAAGGUGUAC